GCGUGCCUACGGGGCGCAGCAGUGAGGAAUAUUGGUCAAUGGUCGGGAGACUGAACCAGCCACGCCGCGUGAGAGAGGAAGGUACAGAGUAUCGUAAACCUCUUUUGUCAGGGAACAAAGACUGGGACGCGUCCCCGGAUGAGUGUACCUGAAGAAAAAGCAUCGGCUAACUCCGUGCCAGCAGCCGCGGUAAUACGGAGAAUGCGAGCGUUAUCCGGAUUUAUUGGGUUUAAAGGGUGCGCAGGCGGUCUGUUAAGUCAGCGGUCAAAGCCCGGGGCUCAACCCCGGCCCGCCGUUGAAACUGG
rnacentral:rRNA from 1 species